GACGAACCGUGCGAACGUUGUUCGGAAUCACUGGGCUUAAAGGGCGCGUAGGCGGGCCGGACGGUCCGCGGUGAAAUCCCCCCGCUCAACGGGGGAACGGCCGCGGAUACCGCCGGCCUCGAGGGGGGUAGGGGCGAGCGGAACGCGUGGGUGGAGCGGUGAAAUGCGUUGAUAUCCAGCGGAACUCCGGUGGCGAAGGCGGCUCGCUGGACCCCCACUGACGCGUGAGGCGCGAAAGCCAGGGGAGCGAACGGG
rnacentral:rRNA from 1 species